GGCAAGGAGAGGAGGGCCGUUGGCUGAGGCUGCUUGUAUGGUUGGUUAGAAUGGCGACAGACCCGUACUCUUACUCUUUGCUGCGGGCCUUAAAGUUGUGUUAGUCUGUUGCUCCCAGCUGCGAACUCAGGAACCGGGGAACGUUGAACCGGGCGGGAGUUGGAGAAGCCGACUGAGAGUGAGGCGGGAGGGACGGUGAGAAGGGGCGGCGGACCACGGUCUUUGUGCGGCGGAGCUCAUCUGUCCCAAAGCCGCGGCUCUUGGAGGGGACUCCGGUGCGCCUCAGCUCCUGGGUCUACCCUCCCGCGUCACUUGCACGCGGGCCGAAGCAACUGUGCGCCCUGUGCUGCCCUCGCCCAAGUUGCCGGCCUCUUUCGGAGAACGGUGGCGCCCCGCGCUGACUUCCCCAAACUCACCUUUUUAGUGGCGAUGUUAGCGUAACCUUGUAAACCGAAUCUUCACAGAGCAAUAAACAGAUCUCUUUGACAAAUCUUUUUGUUGUGAACGUUGGGCCUUGAUAUAAAUGUCCAAUGACGGAUCAUUAAAAAUAGCGAGCACAGAGCGUCUCCCACUAGUACCCAAAGAGUGUAAAAUCGGACCAGUAGGUCUUGUGAAACACCAGUUGUAUCUGAAAGCAGUAUUUCUGAAAGCAUGGCUCCCAGAUCACCUGAUUGAGAAUCACCUUGAAUUCUGACUCUUGGACCCCACCCAGAGCCAUCCUAUUCCUGAGCCCGUUGAGCAAGCACUGAGGUGGCUCAUGUAAAAGACUAACAUCCACAGGACAACGGAUUAUUAUUGUUCACCUGAUUAUAAAAUACUUCCUCUGAAGAAAAUGGAAGAGACCAUGGCUGGGCUGACAAAUUAUCUCCAAGGAAAAGUCAUGGGAUCAAGCCCCGCAUCGAGCCCCACACUCAGCGGC